GGAGCGGGAAUUUACUUUAUAUGUCUCUUCAAUCUCUAAUGAACUCAAGGUACCCGUAAGAUACUUGAAGGAGGACAAACCGCAUGGUUCUGCUGGUGGUCUUUAUUAUUUUAGAGACAUAAUCAUGGAAGACAGUCCNNNNNNNNCAUAUCUUUCUACUGAAUUGUGAUGUUUGCUGUAGUUUUCCAUUGCCAGAUAUGCUUCAGGCACAUAAAAAAUAUGGUGGGAUGGGG
rnacentral:misc_RNA from 1 species